GCGUAUAUUAAAGUUGUUGCAGUUAGAACGCUCGUAGUCGGAUUUCGGGGCAGUCCGACCGGUCUGCCGAUGGGUAUGCACUGGCCGGAGUGUCCUUUUUGCCGGAGACCGUGCCUACUCUUAACUGAGCGGGGGCGGGAGACGGCACUUUUACUUUGAAAAAAUCAGAGUGUUUCAAGCAGGCAGCUCGCUCUUGCAUGGAUUAGCAUGGGAUAAUGAAAUAGGACUUUGGUGCUAUUUUGUUGGUUUCGAACACCGAAGUAAUGAUGAGAAGGGACAGUCAGGGGCACUCGUAUUCCGCAGAGAGAGGUGAAAUUCUCAGACCCGCGGAAGACGAACCACUGCGAAAGCAUUUGCCAGGGAUGUUUUCACUGAUCAAGAACGAAAGUUAGGGGAUCGAAGAUGAUCAGAUACCGUCGUAGUCUUAACCAUAAACCAUGCCGACUAGGGAUUGGAGGAUGUUCACUGAUUGACUCCUUCAGCACCUUACGGGAAACUAAAGUCUUUGGGUUCCGGGGGGAGUAUGGUCGCAAGGCUGAAACUUAA
rnacentral:rRNA from 1 species